GAUGAACGCUAGCGGCAGGCUUAACACAUGCAAGUCGAGGGGUAUAGUUCUUCGGAACUAGAGACCGGCGCACGGGUGCGUAACGCGUAUGCAAUCUACCUUUUGCAGAGGGAUAGCCCAGAGAAAUUUGGAUUAAUACCUCAUGGCAUGGGAGAAUGGCAUCAUUUUCACAUUAAAGUCACAACGGCAAAAGAUGAGCAUGCGUCCCAUUAGCUUGUUGGUAAGGUAACGGCUUACCAAGGCAACGAUGGGUAGGGGUCCUGAGAGGGAGAUCCCCCACACUGGUACUGAGACACGGACCAGACUCCUACGGGAGGCAGCAGUGAGGAAUAUUGGACAAUGGGCGCAAGCCUGAUCCAGCCAUGCCGCGUGCAGGAUGACGGUCCUAUGGAUUGUAAACUGCUUUUGUACAGGAAGAAACACUGGUUCGUGAACCAGCUUGACGGUACUGUAAGAAUAAGGAUCGGCUAACUCCGUGCCAGCCGCCGCAGUAACAC
rnacentral:rRNA from 1 species